UGGACAACAGGUAGAGAUUCCUGUACCAGUGCUAAUUGUUUAACCGAUGGGGUGACACAGAAGGAUAGGGAAUCGCACGAAUGGAAAUGUGCGUCCAAGCAGUGAGUGUGAGAAGUAGGCAAAUCCGCUUCUCGCGAAGCAUGAGCUGUGAUGGGGAAGGAAAUUAAGUACGGAAGUUCCUGAUUUCACGCUGUCAAGAAAAGCCUCUAGGAAGAGUAGUACUGCCCGUACCGCAAACCGACACAGGUAGAUGAGGAGAGAAUCCUAAGGUGAGCGAGAGAACUCUCGUUAAGGAACUCGGCAAAAUGACCCCGUAACUUCGGGAGAAGGGGUGCUCUAUUAGGGUGCAAGCCCGAGAGAGCCGCAGUGAAUAGGCCCAGGCGACUGUUUAGCAAAAACACAGGUCUCUGCAAAACCGUAAGGUGACGUAUAGGGGCUGACGCCUGCCCGGUGCUGGAAGGUUAAGAGGAGUGCUUAGCUUCGGCGAAGGUACGAAUUGAAGCCCCAGUAAACGGCGGCCGUAACUAUAACGGU
rnacentral:rRNA from 1 species